AUCGCUUCUCUGCCUUUUGGCUAAGAUCAAGUGUAGUAUUUGUUCUUAUCAGUUUAAUAAAAUUCACAAGACCAAAAUACUAAUUUAUUAGGCAACAAUGCUUAAUUUAAACAACCAGAGCAACAUUU
rnacentral:snRNA from 1 species